rnacentral:pre_miRNA from 1 species
AGGAGGAACAGCCCCAGUGGCGGGGCCAGCUCUGCAGCCCUGGAUUCAGCCCCCGCAGGAACUCCGUCUGCAGGGCCUGGAGGCUCCGGGGCGGG